rnacentral:rRNA from 1 species
UACGAAGGGGGCUAGCGUUGUUCGGAAUUACUGGGCGUAAAGCGCGCGCAGGCGGCUAUCCAAGUCAGUGGUGAAAGCCCGGAGCUCAACUCCGGAACUGCCAUUGAAACUGUUUAGCUUGAGUAUGAGAGAGGUGAGUGGAAUUCCCAGUGUAGAGGUGAAAUUCGUAGAUAUUGGGAAGAACACCGGUGGCGAAGGCGGCUCACUGGCUCAUUACUGACGCUCAGGCGCGACAGCGUGGGGAUCGAACAGG